UGGGGAAUAUUGGGCAAUGGGCGCAAGCCUGACCCAGCCACGCCGCGUGAGUGAUGAAGGCCUUCGGGUCGUAAAGCUCUGUGGGGAAGGACGAAAAAACAUUGGCUAAUAUCCAAUGGCUUGACGGUACUUCCUUAGCAAGCACCGGCUAACUCUGUGCCAGCAGCCGCGGUAAUACAGAGGGUGCGAGCGUUAAUCGGAAUUACUGGGCGUAAAGCGCACGUAGGUGGCGACGUAAGUCGGGUGUGAAAUCCCCGGGCUCAACCUGGGAACCGCAUUCGAGACUGUGUUGCUGGAGUACGGAAGAGGAGGGCGGAAUUCCCGGUGUAGCGGUGAAAUGCGUAGAUAUCGGGAGGAACAUCAGUGGCGAAGGCGGCCCUCUGGUCCAGUACUGACACUCAAGUGCGAAAGCGUGGGGAGCAAACAGGAUUAGAUACCCGUGUAGUCCCUGAGCGGGCUGGCAAGGCGCAU
rnacentral:rRNA from 1 species